rnacentral:rRNA from 1 species
UGGGGAAUCUUCCGCAAUGGACGAAAGUCUGACGGAGCAACGCCGCGUGUAUGAUGAAGGUCUUCGGAUUGUAAAGUACUGUCAUUGGGGAAGAACGGUUUUCUUGAAAAGAUUGAGAAGACAUGACGGUACCCAAGGAGGAAGCCCCGGCUAACUACGUGCCAGCAGCCGCGGUAAUACGUAGGGGGCAAGCGUUGUCCGGAAUUAUUGGGCGUAAAGGGCGCGUAGGCGGGCUUUUAAGUCCGGUGUGAAAGAUCAGGGCUCAACCCUGAGAGUGCAUCGGAAACUGGAGGCCUUGAGGACAGGAGAGGAAAGUGGAAUUCCACGUGUAGCGGUGAAAUGCGUAGAUAUGUGGAGGAACACCAGUGGCGAAGGCGACUUUCUGGACUGUAACUGACGCUGAGGCGCGAAAGCGUGGGGAGCAAACAGGAUUAGAUACCCUGGUAGUCCACGCCGUAAACGAUGAGUGCUAGGUGUAGAGGGUAUCGACCCCUUCUGUGCCGCAGUUAACACAAUAAGCACUCCGCCUGGGGAGUACGGCCGCAAGGUUGAAACUUAAAUGAAUUGACGGGGUCAUAGCUGUUUCCU